rnacentral:lncRNA from 1 species
AGUGCUUAUGUGUAAAAAGAAUAUAUAUUUUUAAUGAGACAAAGGACAAAAAGGUAAAAUAACAAAUAAAACUAUAAAAAAUUACACAAAUAAUAUAAAUUAUAAUUACACAAAUAACUUAACUUUAAAAAUUAUACAACAAACAUAAAUUAAACUUAAUAAAUUAACAAUUAAACUAAACUAAACUAAAAUACAAUUAAACUAAACAUACAUAAUAAACAAAAAAAAUGAAAAAACUAAAAUUAAAACUAGACAUGAAGUCCUCCCCUGCGGAUGAAAUCAGAUCACCGAACAAAAAAUCUCAACCCAAAAAAUUCAUCCAUCCUAACAGAUCAUAACUUCAAACAGGGAAGAGAUGGUGAGCAACUGAGCCGUAAGGAAAGGGAGGGGAGAUCAAGUGGAGAUGCCAUCGCCACCAGAUCCAAAACCACCAAGACCAUACAAAUCAUCUCCAACUAAAAUUCCAUCCAUCCUAACAGAUCAUAACUUCAAAUAAAGAAGAGAUGUGGGCCGUAAGGAAGAAAGGGAGUGGAGAUCAGGUGGCAUGGACCGGAUGCCAUCGCCGGAGAAUUUCAAACCAAAUCCAAAACCACUAAGACCCUACAAACCAUCCCCAACCAAAAUUCCUAUGCCGAAUCGGCUUGCCUUAGUUCUUAUUCCUGAUGGCUCCUCGUCUAAUUAAUGGGAAUAUGGAAGCCUUAGAUCUAGAUCUAGAUCAAGAAUUUGAUUUGAAGAUGUAUUUCGAGCUGCUCACUACUUUACCCCAAAGGAUCGUGUUGUUGAUGAGAGAAAGAACCAAAAUUUAAUAUAAAAAAAAUUAUGCCUUUUGUUGUUUUAAUGUUUAAUAUAAAGGGGAUUGACCGAUUUGCCCUUUAAAUGUGUAAUUAAGAAUUUAAAAACUAUUUUUUUGCACACAUCAGCUGGGUAUGACCCCACUCAAAGGGUCACGUCAUCAAUUUAUGACGUGACAAGAGAAAUUAGAC